rnacentral:lncRNA from 1 species
AAUGAGUAAUUCAAAAGCUUUACUCGAUCGUAAAGUCUUUCAAAAUAUAAAAGAGAAGGGAGAACAAUAAGAAAUAGAAAUCAAACUAAAUGAACUAAGCUAAGAAGCUACUAAGUGCUAGGGGCUGGCUCAUCGCUGUCCAAAGCCUGCUCCAGAGAGGUGUCAUCUGCUGCAUCUGCUCACAUCCAAAAAGGAUGAUCAUCGCAAAGGGAAGAACCAGGACAUACAAAACAAACAACAUACAAGUGCAAGGGUGAGCUAGUAUUCAAAACAUGCACAUGGUUAAUACAAUUAAUCAAGAAGAACAUACAAAUAAUAAUCAAUUCAGGCAUGAGAUAAAAACCUAUUUAACAUAGACUCGUCCGGACUAAGAAUGUAUAUAGAGCUGGGGCGGGUUGUGCACUUGUGGUGGCCUCUACUGCUUUGCAAAGCCAUUGCCGAGGGGUUU